CUAUGAGCUUACACAGCCACCCUCAGUGUCAGUGUCACCAGGACAGGCAGCCAUGAUCACCUGCUCUUGAGAUAACCUCAAAGAUGAGUAUGUUUACUGGUUCUGGCAGAAGCCAGACCAGGCCCAUACUGGUGAUAUAUGAAGGCAGCAAGCGGCCCUCAGGAAUUUCUGAUUUUCUGAGUCCAGCUCAGGGAACAUGGCCACCCUGACCAUCAGCAGGGCUCAGACUGAGGACGAGGCUGACUAUUAC
rnacentral:lncRNA from 1 species